rnacentral:rRNA from 1 species
GAUCCUGUCUCAGGACGAACGCUGGCGGCGUGCUUAACACAUGCAAGUCGAACGCUGAAUCCCAGCUUGCUGGGUGGAUGAGUGGCGAACGGGUGAGUAACACGUGAGUAACCUGCCCCCUUCUUUGGGAUAACGCCCGGAAACGGGUGCUAAUACUGGAUAUUCACUGGCCUUCGCAUGGGGUUGGUGGAAAGGUUUUUUCUUGGUGGGGGAGUGGGCUCGCGGCCUAUCAGCUUGUUGGUGGGGUGGAUGG